AGUUGUGGCUCAGCGGUAGAUCACUUGCCUAGCAUGUGGGAGGCCCUGGGUUCAAUCCUCAGCACCACUG
rnacentral:tRNA from 1 species